rnacentral:lncRNA from 1 species
AAACUUCAAAACCCCCCUACUUUCGCACUCUUUCAUGUGAGUACCCUUUGGCUUAAAGUGUAUCAAAUUAGUACCUGUGAUUUCGCACUUUCUCACUUUAAUACUCUGUGGUUUAAAGUGUAUCAAGUUAGUACUCUGUGGUUUUAUUUUUUUAUCAAGUUAGUACCAUAUGGUUUUAUUUUUGUAUCAAGUUAGUACCAUGUGGUUUUUAAACCGCAGGGUUCUAAAGUGAGAAAAUGCGAAACCACAGGGUACUAACUUUAUACACUUUAAACCACAGGGUACUAAAGUGAAAAAGUGCAAAAUCAUAGAAUACUAACUUGAUACACUUUAAACCAGAGGGUACUAAAGUGAGAAAAAGUGAAACCACAAAGGGGGUAUUUGAAGUUUUUCAAUUUUUUUAAUGAAGUACUUAUAAGGAUAUUUUGCAGAAACAGUCCUAUUCUUUUUAUUGUCCAGGUAAAAUGUAUAAAUAGUCCUUAUACUCUAUUAGUAUUUCAACUUGCCAACUUAGUCACUGAAAAUAUACGUUCAAUAAAUAGUUACAUGUGAGAACAGUUUGGUCUGUUUACAUAAUUAAUUGAUUUUUCAUA